CAGUCGCCAGGGAAAACGUAGGUGGCAAGCGUUGUCCGGAAUUAUUGGGCGUAAAGGGCUCGCAGGCGGUUUCUUAAGUCUGAUGUGAAAGCCCCCGGCUCAACCGGGGAGGGUCAUUGGAAACUGGAAAACUUGAGUGCAGAAGAGGAGAGUGGAAUUCCACGUGUAGCGGUGAAAUGCGUAGAGAUGUGGAGGAACACCAGUGGCGAAGGCGACUCUCUGGUCUGUAACUGACGCUGAGGAGCGAAAGCGUGGGGAGCGAACAGGAUUAGAUACCCCCGUAGUCCCUGUCUCUUAUACA
rnacentral:rRNA from 1 species